rnacentral:rRNA from 1 species
GACGAACGCUGGCGGCGUGCUUAACACAUGCAAGUCGAACGGAAAGGCCCUGCUUUUGUGGGGUGCUCGAUUGGCGAACGGGUGAGUAACACGUGAGUAACCUGCCCUUGACUUUGGGAUAACUUCAGGAAACUGGGUCUAAUACCGGAUAGGAGCUCCUGCUGCAUGGUGGUGGUUGGAAAGAUUCGGCGGUUGUGGAUGGAUUCGCGGCUUAUCAGCUUGUUGGUGGGGUAGUGGCUUACCAAGGCUUUGACGGGUAGCCGGCCUGAGAGGGUGACCGGCGACCUUGCGACUGCGGUACGGCCCAGAAUCGUACGGGAGGCAGCAGUGGGGAAUAUUGCACAAUGGGCGGAAGCCUGAUACAGCAGCGCCGCGUGCGGGAUGACCGCCUUCGGGUUGUAAACCGAUUUCGCCUGUACCGAAGAGUGAGUGACGGUAAUGGGUAAAAAAGCACCGGCUAACUACGUG